rnacentral:rRNA from 1 species
AUUGAACGCUGGCGGCAGGCCUAACACCUGCAAGUCGAACGAGUGGCGGACGGGUGAGUAAUGUCUGGGAAACUGCCCGAUGGAGGGGGAUAACUACUGGAAACGGUAGCUAAUACCGCAUACCAUCGGAUGUGCCCAGAUGGGAUUAGCUAGUAGGUGGGGUAACGGCGCACCUAGGCGACGAUCCCUAGCUGGUCUGAGAGGAUGACCAGCCACACUGGAACUGAGACACGGUCCAGACUCCUACGGUAGGCAGCAGUGGGGAAUAUUGCACAAUGGGCGCAAGCCUGAUGCAGCCAUGCCGCGUGUAUGAAGAAGGCCUUCGGGUUGUAAAGUACGUUCAGCGAGGAGGCGUUACUCGCAGAAGAAGCACCGGGUAACUCCGGGCGAGCAGCCGCGGUAAUUC